AUCAUGUAUCGAUCCAAGGUCUGUCGACUGGAAUCGAUUAGCAUGUCCUAAACGGAAGUAUCCACCGAAUGGAGCUGAGAUACAAACGGUGAAACGUGCUGCUUUGAAGGCCAAAUGUUCUCAAAGAAUAAACCGACUUGCUGCUCCGGUCCUUCGUGGAGCCCAGAGGAAACUUUGACACGGCAUCCAACUCUAGUCCUCUAGAUACAUUCUCGUGUUGCCAUCUUGGAAACAGACCACAAUAAGGGAACAACAAAACAACAAUAUGUAUAAUGAAGAGAAUUAAAGGAAUUAUAAUGUCGAG
rnacentral:sRNA from 1 species